UCGUAUCCUUACGAAUCCCACAGACCGUUGUUAAUUGUUUAAAACACGAUCAGGAUAUUUGGUUAUAUGCUAAAGGCGUCCCAUCUUAUCCCGCAGAACUAUAUUCGUAACUAUAAAAAUGUAACUAUAACUUGAUGGCAUAUGUAAUAAAUGCUGCGUUCCAGGUUUCCUAUGUUAAUUGAUUUGUGUAUAUACCUAAGUUGCGUCACGCCACCGGACGACAUUACAUCACGUGUGGGUUGUACUAAAUUCCUCGAAGGCGUGUUAGACAGUUCGUGUGUAAUGCUAUAACUAGCAGAUUGCAGUUACAAAGAGGAAGUCAUAUGCGUUAUAUAAUUGUGUGUAUUACUUAGUCUGUGUGUAUUACUAUACUACUAUGUGUUUUGCGCUACUUUAUAGUUGGCUGGUAAUCGCUAUGUAUAAUGUCAUUAUUAGAUAUUAGGGUACAGGGAUAAACCGGAACAGUUAGUUGCACAAAAUUAUGCUGACUGUUUUGAUUGUGUUAAAUUUGAUCGUCGUAACAUCAACCACUGCUAAUUGGCAUCAACUUGAUGGCAUCGAAUAUUACUUUGAGUAUACAGCAAUUAGUGAAAAUGGCGCAAUCGCGGGCUGUAUAAGAAUGAACGCCAUUUUAGCUGCUGUUAAAUCUCAACGAAUUCAGGACUUUCUUGUCAAAAAUAUAAAUACUACAAAUUUAUCAGCAAUAGGUAGACCAUAUUCAUUCUACAUUGGUUUGAGUCGUAUCAGUUCAACUACAUUGCAAUGGUCGGAUGGUACAACAACUGAUACAUCGGUCUUCACUUAUUGGGAUGAUCUUGAUGACGUCUACGACUCAAGGAAACUUUGUGUUGUCAUGGGAUACCACUCUGCAUUAAAUGUUUUAUUUAAAUGGAAGAUUGAAAAGUGCAGUAGUACACAUCGUUAUAUUUGCCAAAGUAAGCUCUAUAUUGAUUAACAUUCCUACAAGUAUUGUUCAUAUCUUUCUUUUCUCAUAUUGUAUUUUUACGCAUUCAUUAUCUCGUAUUUAUUCUUAUAUCUAAUUUCUUGUGUAUUACAGUAAUGCACUUCUUUUACAACUACAAGUGUUCCACAGAGACUGUUCACUGUGCACUAUAGGUGGAAUUUAUUUUUGAGGUUUUUCUUUUUCCAUCAGGGCCCAAUCUUUGGGUCAAUGCUCUUUAAA